rnacentral:misc_RNA from 1 species
AAAUUUAACACCAACCCACAUUCCCAUUUUUGUAGAUCUAAAUCCCCAAAUUCGAUUCUUGGGAAUUAACGCCCUCAAUUUUUUUUUCGCCAUGGCAGCAGAACAAUCAAAGAAAUGGAUUCUUAUGGUGACUGCUCAAACACCCACAAACAUAGCAGUGAUUAAAUAUUGGGGAAAAAGGGAUGAAAAUCUUAUUCUAGCUAUUAAUGAUAGUAUUAGUGUUACCCUUGAUCCUGCUCAUCUUUGUACCACAACCACUGUUGCUGUUAGCCCUUCUUUCCAACAAGAUCGCAUGUGGUUAAACAAAAAGGAAAUAUCCCUUGAUGGAGCCAGAUACCAAAAUUGUCUAAGAGAAAUUCGAGCUCGUGCUAAUGAUUACGAGGAUGAGAAGAAGGGUAUCAAGAUCAGUAAAAAUGAUUGGCAGAACUUGCAUGUGCAUAUUGAUUCUUACAAUAAUUUUCCAACUGCUGCUGGUCUGGCUUCCUCAGCUGCUGGUUUUGCCUGCCUCGUCUUUUCCCUUGCGAAGUUAAUGAAUGUGCAAGAGGACAAUGGGAGACUUUCUGCCAUAGCAAGGCAAGGUUCGGGAAGUGCUUGUCGAAGCUUGUUUGGAGGAUUUGUCAAGUGGGUCAUGGGAAAGGAGGAAGAUGGUAGCGAUAGUAUAGCUGUUCCACUCGCAGACGAGAAACACUGGGAUGAGCUUGUUAUCAUCAUUGCAGUGGUUAGCUCACGGCAGAAGGAAACAAGUAGCACCUCAGGAAUGCGCGAGACUGUUGUAACCAGUGCACUUAUAGACCACAGAGCAAAGGAAGUAGUACCAAAACGCAUUGUUCAGAUGGAAGAAGCUAUACAAAAUCGCGAUUUUCCAACUUUUGCCCAACUGACUUGUUCUGACAGCAAUCAAUUUCAUGCAGUCUGCAUGGACACUAGCCCUCCUAUAUUCUACAUGAAUGACACAUCUCAUAGGGUAAUUAGCUGUGUCGAGAAAUGGAACCGUGCAGAAGGAACUCCACAGGUUGCAUACACCUUCGAUGCUGGGCCAAAUGCUGUUCUAAUUGCGCGUAACAGAAAGGCUGCCACACUUAUGCUUCAGAGGCUUCUUUUCCACUUCCCUCCAAAUUCAGAUACCGAUCUAGACAGCUAUGUCAUAGGCGAUAAGUCAAUUCUGAAGGAUGCUGGGAUAAAGGAUUUAAACGACAUUGAAGCAUUACCACCUCCACCUGAAAUUAAGGACAAGGUUCCGGCUCAGAAAUGCAAAGGUGAAAUAAGCUACUUCAUCUGCACAAGACCUGGCAGAGGUCCAGUUUUGCUACCUGACGAAAGUCAGGCUCUCCUCUGCCUUGAAACUGGUUUGCCCAAGUAAAAGAGCAAUUUCUUUUUUUUACUUGUGCUGAUGUUUAAGUAAUCGACACAACUCCACGAGAUCCAAGUAUUGCACCCUCUUUGCCUUGAGAGAUGAGGAUGCCAUUUUAAACUCUCUUUUUUUUUCCCUAUGUUUGGAUAAAAUUUAAACUCAAAGCUUUUGCUUGUAGCUUAGCUUAGUUGUGUACUCUCAUCUUUGAGCAAUGCAAUAAAAGUCCUCA